CCAUAUUGUUGUGAUAGCCAUCAUCAAACGGCAAUGAAUGCACGUGCGCUCAAUAAACACACAUGAGGUUUUAAUUCUUAUUGAUCUCUUCAGCAGACAUCAACCAUGAAGAAACCUGAUCUGAUAUAGAAACUUCAAUUCAUCAAUUUUUCUGUGUUAUGUCUAAAGAAAAUGAAAAAUAUGAUAUUUAUGAACAAAAUCACGAAUUUUGCUAUUUCUUGUUUUUAUGUUUUUAAAAAGCAUAAAAUGUGAUUCUAUAAGUUCAUAAUAUUUAGAGGAAAUUAGUGGUGUGUGUUUAUGUGUUAUAAAUUAUCACAUGAAUGGCUAACUAAAAUGAUUUAUAUGAAGUUUUAAAUCUGCGCAGCCUAUAACCAAGAUAAAUGGAGCAAAAAUCAUCAUUUGCUGAAGUUCUUUUUGGACAUUCUUCAGACGUGCUUUUGAGUCUUU